CAAGUAAGCUGACGUCACUAUAGACGCAGCAGUGCAAUGGAGAACACAACACGCGGGUUCUUUGUGCGACAGGAAACGCUCCGCACCGCGGGCGAAUAUAAACCGGAGCCAGACGUUCCGUUGUAUCACUCGAGAUGGCUGCCUCAACCAGAACCGUUCUCCUUCUCUGCUUGGCCUUUGCGGUUGUGGCCGCGGUGGCGCAGGAUUCUGCUGACGCGCCGCCACCAGCGGUCCCUAGCGGUGAUGCCGCCAACAACCAGGAGCCGGUGCAGCCGGUGGUGGACGUCGGAGCUGCUGGGGACCAGGCGCUGCAAGACCGCUGGGGGAUAUCUGCGAGCUUCCAUACCGGCUGAGCGGCUUACUGCCGCGUCCAAGAAAUCAGAGAGCUCUGCUUUCUUUUAAACUUUUCUGUUUCUUCUACAGUUUAAACAUUUAACAUUAUUCCUGUUCCUAUAUCGAAAGGGACCUCUUCUUUUCUCAGAAACUAUAAAUGAACAUGUGUUACAAAAGAAUAAAUAAAUUUUAGCAUUCAGAAAGGUAA